rnacentral:rRNA from 1 species
AGAGUUUGAUCCUGGCUCAGGAUGAACGCUGGCGGCGUGCUUAACACAUGCAAGUCGAACGGAGCUAUGACACGGAGUCUUCGGAUGAAGUGCUGUAGCUUAGUGGCGGACGGGUGAGUAACACGUGAGCAACCUACCUUUUGCAGGGGAAUAACUCUGGGAAACCAGAGCUAAUACCGCAUGCCGUGCGCUUGGGGCAUCCCAGGUGCAUGAAAGGAUUUUAUCCGGCAGAAGAUGGGCUCGCGUCCGAUUAGGUAGUUGGAGAGGUAAUGGCUCCCCAAGCCGACGAUCGGUAGCCGGACUGAGAGGUCGAUCGGCCACAUUGGGACUGAGACACGGCCCAGACUCCUACGGGAGGCAGCAGUGGGGAAUAUUGGGCAAUGGGCGGAAGCCUGACCCAGCGACGCCGCGUGAAGGAGGAAGGCUUUCGAGUUGUAAACUUCUUUGGGGAGGGACGAAGAUGACGGUACCUCCAGAACAAGCCACGGCUAACUACGUGCCAGCAGCCGCGGUAAUACGUAGGUGGCGAGCGUUAUCCGGAUUUACUGGGUGUAAAGGGCGCGCAGGCGGCCCUGGAAGUCAGAUGUGAAAGAUCAAGGCUUAACUUUGACAGGUCAUCUGAAACUUUGGGGCUUGAGUAUCAGAGGGGAAAGUGGAAUUCCUAGUGGAGCGGUAAAAUGCACAGAGAUUAGGAGGAACACCGGUGGCGAAGGCGACUUUCUGGCUGACAACUGACGCUGAGGCGCGAAAGCGUGGGGAGCAAACAGGAUUAGAUACCCUGGUAGUCCACGCCGUAAACGAUGAUUACUGGGUGUAGGGAGUAUCGACUCUCUCUGUGCCGAAGCAAACGCGAUAAGUAAUCCACCUGGGGAGUACGGCCGCAAGGCUAAAACUCAAAGGAAUUGACGGGGACCCGCACAAGCAGUGGAGUAUGUGGUUUAA